AACGACGCUGGCGGCGUGACUUAACACAUGACAAGUCGAACGACGGAAAGGGGCGUUCGGUCCUGAGUAAAGUGGCGCACGGGUGAGUAACGCGUGGAUAAUCUACCCGAUGGACCGGGAUAACAUUUCGAAAGGGGUGCUAAUACCGGAUAAGACCACGGGCUCUUUGGGGUCUGUGGUAAAAGGUGGGGACCUUCGGGCCUACCGUCAAUGGAUGAGUCCGCGUACCAUUAGCUAGUUGGUGGGGUAAGAGCCUACCAAGGCGACGAUGGUUAGCUGGUCUGAGAGGAUGAUCAGCCACACUGGAACUGAGACACGGUCCAGACUCCUACGGGAGGCAGCAGUGGGGAAUUUUGCGCAAUGGGGGAAACCCUGACGCAGCAACGCCGCGUGAGUGAUGAAGGCCUUCGGGUCGUAAAGCUCUGUCAGAGGGGAAGAAAUGCAGGGGCGCUAAUAUCGCUUAUGCUUGACGGUACCCUCAAAGGAAGCACCGGCUAACUCCGUG
rnacentral:rRNA from 1 species